rnacentral:rRNA from 1 species
UAACACGUGGAUGAUCUACCUUCUGGUGAGGAAUAACCCUGGGAAACCGGGGAUAAUACCGCAUAAGCUCGAGAGAGGAAAGCAGCAAUGCGCCGGAAGAGGAGUCCGCGGCCGAUUAGCUAGUUGGCAGGGUAAAAGCCUACCAAGGCGAAGAUCGGUAGCCGGCCUGAGAGGGCACACGGCCACACUGGCACUGAAACACGGGCCAGACUCCUACGGGAGGCAGCAGUGGGGAAUCUUGCACAAUGGGGGAAACCCUGAUGCAGCGACGCCGCGUGAGCGAUGAAGCCCUUCGGGGUGUAAAGCUCUUUCGGCAGGGAAGAUGAUGACGGUACCUGCAGAAGCAGCUGCGGCUAACUACGUGCCAGCAGCCGCGGUAAUACGUAGGCAGCAAGCGUUGUUCGGAGUUACUGGGCGUAAAGGGUGUGUAGGCGGUUGUUUAAGUUUGGUGUGAAAUCUCCCGGCUCAACUGGGAGGGUGCGCCGAAUACUGAAUGACUCGAGUGCGGGAGAGGAGAGUGGAAUUCCUGGUGUAGCGGUGAAAUGCGUAGAUAUCAGGAGGAACACCGGUGGUGUAGACGGCUCUCUGGACCGUAACUGACGCUGAGACACGAAAGCGUGGGUAGCAAACAGGAUUAGAUACCCUGGUAGUCCACGCCCUAAACGAUGCAUAUUUGGUGUGGGCCGUUCAGUCGGUCCGUGCCGGAGCUAACGCGUUAAAUAUGCCGCCUGGGGAGUACAGUCGCAAGGCUGAAACUCAAAGGAAUUGACGGGGGCCCGC